rnacentral:lncRNA from 10 species
AAAGGGCGCGUUUUGGCGCUGGUGACCGGGGGUGACCGGGGGUGACCGGGGAUGGCCGGGAAGAUGAAAGAGCACUGAAACUGUCCCAUUUCCUGGCACCUCAACCCUUCAUAAAUACGGGUCCAUAUACAGAGGCUCCAGUUUACACAAGACAAAAAUGGCGUGGAGCAUCUGUUGUCCAUGGUUCUUGUCCAUGUGCCAACUUGGAGAGUACAUCUGGUUUGCUAGUUUGAUACC